rnacentral:rRNA from 1 species
CCUACGGGAGGCUGCAUUGGGGAAUAUUGGACAAUGGGGGCAACCCUGAUCCAGCCAUGCCGCGUGUGUGAAGAAGGCCCUCGGGUUGUAAAGCACUUUCAGUGAGGAAGAAUGCCUGGUGGUUAAUACCCAUCAGGAAAGACAUCACUCACAGAAGAAGCACCGGCUAACUCCGUGCCAGCAGCCGCGGUAAUACGGAGGGUGCGAGCGUUAAUCGGAAUUACUGGGCGUAAAGCGCGCGUAGGUGGCUUGAUAAGCCGGUUGUGAAAGCCCCGGGCUCAACCUGGGAACGGCAUCCGGAACUGUCAAGCUAGAGUGCAGGAGAGGAAGGUAGAAUUCCCGGUGUAGCGGUGAAAUGCGUAGAGAUCGGGAGGAAUACCAGUGGCGAAGGCGGCCUUCUGGACUGACACUGACACUGAGGUGCGAAAGCGUGGGUAGCAAACAGGAUUAGAUACCCGUGUAGUC